CCGACUGAACGACUUUCAUUUCACUUCAGGUCAAAGGCUCUGCAAUGACAGUCUGGCUACUUGCAAUUUCCCCUAUUGACAUACUGGAUUUAUUUCUCAUUCUUCUAAGUAAACAAUUAAACCAGCUGUGGAUUCCGGGUUGAAGAGGCUGUAGAACAUAGCACCUUUCCAUCAGCAGAGAGCUUGACUAUACUGUUUAUGCCUUAGCUCAGCUCCUAGAGCACUUAGAACAGUGUCAACCUUGUAGUGGAUACUCAAUACAUACCACUGAAUAAAGAAAUAAUCAAUGUUCUUGUAUAGCAACUUGA